rnacentral:rRNA from 1 species
CGCAUCUGUGCAUGCAGCAUAUCAAUAAGCGGAGGAAAAGAAACUAACAAGGAUUCCCUUAGUAACAGGCGAGUGAAGCGGGAAGAGCUCAAAUUUGAAAUCUUCAAGGGUUUACCUUUACGAAUUGUAGUUUAAAGAAGUGUUUUCUGUUGAGGUUUUGGUAAAAGUUCUUUGGAAUAGGACAUCAUAGAGGGCGAGAAUCCCGUAUUUGACCAUUACUUUCAACCUUGUGAUACACUUUCAAAGAGUCGGAUUGUUUGGGAACGCAGUCCAAAAUGGGUGGUAAAUUUCAUCUAAAGCUAAAUAUUGGCGAGAGACCGAUAGCGAACAAGUACCGUGAGGGAAAGAUGAAAAGAACUUUGAAAAGAGAGUUAAACAGUACGUGAAAUUGUCAAAAGAGAAGCGUUUGACACCAGUGUUGUUUUUCUGAAAAUCAAUUAAAGAACUGUUUAUGCUAGGUUGUUUAGACUUUAUCAGCUAACUGUUUAGUUUUGAGCUUUUCUUUAAUGCACUUUUCAGUUAACAAGUCAACAUCAAUUUCUUUUGCUGUAAAAAAGCUUGAGGAAGGUGGCUUGAGAUUCGUCUUAAGUGUUUAUAGCCUCUUGCCUAUGCAGUCGGAGAGAUUGAGGUCUGCAGCGUAGAUCCUUCGGGGCUAAAUGCAUUUGUGCUAAGUUAUAGCAUUUUAUAGACAACUUGUUGACUAUGAUUUGUCUUGUAGCUUACUCGCUUAUGCUAUUUUACCUACGCUUAGGAUGUUGAUCUGUAGUGCGUGCGC